rnacentral:lncRNA from 1 species
GUUCCAUCCUCUUGUAGAGAUUUUAGCUUUACCUUGCACCCUCUAGUAAUCUAUCUCCAAGUGAUAGCACUUUUUUUGAAGUCAUAACCUUGUUCAAUACCAAACCAACUUAGAAUCAACUUAGUGAAUAUUUUUCUUAGGUCCUUAUGAUCCACGUUGAUGACAUUUUUUUAUAUUUUUUUGUCCAAGAAGAUAGUACUUCCAUGCUCCAAAUCACAUCUCAGGUACAUUCUAAGUAUGGUGAAAAUUGAUCUCACAACUAAGGGUGGCUCGAACCAAAGAUCAAUCUUGACAAAACUUAAACUUCUUAUAGAUGACCAUUAUCAUAGAAUAUCUCAGAAGACAAUUAUCACUUCAAGAUAGUUUUAUAAUGCAUCAUCCCGUAAUAUCAAGGUGCUACACCCCUUAGAAUGAGAUUGAUUGGGGGACACUAAGGACUAGUUCUCCUUUCCUUUUUGAACGCUACACAUCAUAGUCUUUUACAUUCGUUGUACCGAGUCUCUUGAUCCAAGGUUAGUUCCAUCACUAAGUUCCAAUUAUCGGUACCUUUAUCACGGUUAAGUUGUUUCACUCUCAUAUUGUACAUAUAACUUCGUAACCUUUGGUGUCAUCUGAUCCUCAUAACCAUAACUCUCAAUCCAUGAGUAUCAGCAAUGACAUAUAUCUCCAUUGAUAUUCUCUGAAUGGGACGAUAUCUUGAAUCAAAACCAAUUUACCAAGCGCUUGUGAUCCUCACAUAUGAUCCAACACUAGCCAAUCCGUCUCAUUGUAACUCCUUUAGUUGGGCUACCCCCCUUAAAAGGGUCAACUAGGGGACACAAGAAAGUUAGCUCGCAUGUUUCCCAGCCAAGUGAACUAACAUUGAGAACUUUCGACAUCCCAAAGAACUUAUAUGCAAGAGAACAAACUAGUGUCCUGAAAUUUCCUCGCGAUAUGAAAAAUACCAGCGUAGUAAAAUAGGUAUAACUCUUAUUCUGUUAAUCCAAUAGAGUUGCAGAUUAUAUCGUUAGAAAACUUAUGAAAUUCCCUACAACUUUCAUGUAGAAGACCUCCUUAGAUUCUGUCUUUAAACUUAGGUAAAAUAGCCAAACAUAGUAUCCAUCCUGAUAAUGUCUCAGCAAAGGUGCAGUAACUUCCAGAAGUUAUAUCUCGAGCUACUUAACUCAUCUGGAGAUGAUCCAUACAUUUUUGAAAAAGCUUAUGAAAUCAUCUAUAACUUUCGUAUACCACAUUUUUCCAGAUCUGUCUUUAACUUGGCCGAAAAUAGGAAAUGCAAGAUCUGUCCAGAUUUUGAAACAGAACAGAAACAUCCAAGUAUAAAUGUCAUAUCUCAGGUUCUACUAAUCCAAAUGAGUUCCAGCUUAUACUGUUGGAAAGCUUCGAAAAUUUUCUACAACUUUUCUAUAGAAAACUUUUCCAAAUUCUAUAGCUAUAUUUGUCUCAAACAGUAAGCAACCAAAACUGAUCCAGAUUCUUGGCAGCACAGUUGUAUCAUUUUGUGAUUUUUGUAACUUCGAAACCAUAAUAGCUAUGAGGGUGAUUCUUGCGGUCAGAGAAAGAUCUUGAAGUCUAGUUGUUCCCAGAAAAUUUUGAUAAACUUUGCACGAUCGGACCUUUAGAUACACCAGUAUUAUUGCAAACUGCUCCAAAAAAAAUCAGCAAGGGAUAGAAACAAGAGAUAGCCAAACCCAACUACUUAUUUCAUUAAUCCUUAUGCCUUAGGUCUAUAGACUAAUGAAAUUGUGAAGUAAUUCCACAAGAUCAUUGCACUCAUUACAAAGAUCCAAAUCAAACUUAAGCAUAAUAACAAACCAACUAAACAUUAAAGGUUCACUCUUCACUCAACUUGCGAUACUAUCGUUUUCUUCAUAGUAAGGGCAAAGAUCCUAAAACUCCUAUUUCAAUGACGCCAGAAGGUGGUAAGAGAAGUUCUAAAAGCAUAUCAAGCAAGGAGUGGGGAUGAGAACAAGUCUUUAAAAUAAGCAACAAGGUAAAGAUGAAUAGCAAUGAAAAAGAUAUGGUAUAGAGAAAAAAUAUCAAGGCUUAUAGAAUAGGGAUUUUAUGACAAUUCCAAAACCUUAAGACGACCACUUUCUAACUAGGCUUGCGUCCUACAGCCAGCAUUGCUUUGAUACCACUUUGUAAUACCCGAUUUUAAGGACAAAACCAGAUAUGCACCAUAUAUGAGUUUUAGAAGUCAAAUCUCACAUAUAGCUACAAAUAAGGGGUAAUAUCAAAAGACAAUGCAUAAAUAUAUAACGUACAUGAUAUAAAAGAGAUAACCUUUAGCAUCAAACAGCGGAUAGACAACUCUAAACCUUCGGGUAUUAACUUCUCUCCACAGGAUCCAACUGACUGGUUGAUCACAAGCCCAAAACUUCUCCUGAUGUGUGGGGGGGAAUUGCAAGAGUGAGCACAUAUCGUACUCAACAAGUAUAACUAGGGGUUCAUGAGGCUCAAAAAGCUGACACUAGUUUGACUGCAUUUAGCUUUUAAUAGUGGAUAGCAUAUUUAAUCAUUGGAUAGCAAAUAUCAAGGUAGCACUAAUAAUCCCAUAACCACAUGAUCAAUUGUAUACAAGAAUUAAGAAUAACACAUAUAAACAACAUGAUAAACCAUCAUUUAUUAUCAUUAUUCAUGUUCAUCAGUGUCCAUCUAUUCCGUCAGUUUUUCGGGCCGCCCGUAUCCGUGGGCACGGCUAGUAUACCAGAUUUAACACUCUGCAGAGGUUGUACAUCUUUACCCAUGAGUCAUGAUUUACCCUUUCGCCCGAGGUAGCUAGUCUCUUAACCCCCUUCCUAGGGAGGUCGGCAGGGAUCACUAUGAAGCCUUUCAAAGGUUCGCCUAACAUGUUAGGGCCGCAAGGUUUCCUUUGCGCGCAGAUAUAGAUACCCCCCUUCCGAAUGGCACAAUGACGCGCAGCCUAUACACAUAGGGACAGGGGCUCGCACUAUACCCAAAACGGUUCAGCCCCUCCGCCCUUUCGGGUAACCUCUAACAAGCUAGAAAAGCUUACUCAUACUUGACUAAAGCCAGAGCCAUAUAGCCCUCAUGGUUGUACGAGUUGUCCCAGCUUUUGCCAAGGGAUAAGUCCUUAUGGAGGGUCAAGAUCAAUCCAGCAAAAGCCAGAGUUCUUUCCACCCUUUAUAUUCAAGUUGCUAGAAAGCUUAUUUUAUUGUUUAUUGUAUAUUCAAAUAUUCAUGUUACAAGAUCAUGGAUUAUUAAUCAAGCACUAGCAAGAACUACCCAAAUGCAUAUCCAAAUAGGUAAUCAAGGAAUUCAGGAUAACAAUCAUCUAUGAUUUUGCUAAGGUCAUCAAGGUGGACACAUGCAAAUGAUAAAUGCUAUAUUAAUUGUGUAUAGAUAGCAAGGAUAGUCCCCAGUUAUACUUGCCUUAAUCCAAAUGCUCUUGUUGAUCCUGCUGGUAUUACUAGUUGUUCAAGGCUCUGAUCUUGAUCACUGAAGUACUCUUGUGCACCACGAAUUUCUCACCGUCUAAAUUCGAUCAUCAACACACAAACAAUCGACGACAAACAUACAUGAAGCAAACAAAGCUACAAUUAGAACAGUACACCAAACAUGUAAAAACAGUAUGAAAAGUUUAUAAAAUGAUUCUACGCAUCGCUACGAUUUCAAAGACGUAAAGUUCACGAAAAUCGGAGUUAAAACGGUGAAGUUAUAAAUUUUCUAAGAUUUUAUAUAGAAAAAUAAUUAAUUAAAUAGGGUCACAAAAAUAAAAAGGUUUCAAACUGAGUAAACAAUUUUACUAAUAUGUAGAGCUCAUUAAUAUGAACCUAACGCAAUUUGAAUGGACCAAAUCGGAUUUACAAUGAGCAUUUUAUAAGGUUGAAAUAGAAUUAUGUUAGUAACUUAUCAUAUUAAUAUUUAUACAUAGAAAACACCAAGUUGAUUUUUACCUCCACGAUCGACAACAGGUUCUGCAACUUGGAUCUGUAUGCGCAACAAGAUAAUUAUCAGCACACGUAUAUCUCUUCACGGAACAGCACUAGCAGACCAGCAAGAAAAUUUCUUGUGUUCACGAGAAGCACUGACGGCAAUAGUCCUGUCUCCACUUUGAUCGACAUGAACUUCUCAUCUCUGGAACUCGCAACAGCGGCCGCGGCAGCAGCGGCAACCAGGUUAAAGCAGCAAUCUCUGCAAACGCUGAACAUCAGCCGCCUUCUGGAGACCAUGACAAACUCGACUUGACUUCAGCGACUUGCACCAUCGAAAACGGAAAAGGAUUCCGUCCUUGAUUCUGCCUCGGUUGACAGGCACCAGCAACGCAUGAACCAGAUCGAACGGAUUAACGACGGUGCAAAACAUGUCUUUGAUUCCCAGAUGGACUCAGGCGGCGGCGGCGGCUCAACGUGUGAUGCUAAAAAGAUUUAACGCAUACUAGUAUUAUAUAUAUAUACACGUGAGGUUUGGAUGAGUUGGACUAGGGUUAGAAUUUGUUAUUUCCAGAAUUAAAUAAUUCUAUGAAUUAAAUAAUCUCAGAAAAAUCUGGAAUCGUUUAUUUUAUUUUAUUUUAUUUCAAAACCCUUUUAGAAACAAUUUUGAAAAUAGUGUAAGUCAUUUUAAGUUAUGAUCAAAACCAAGCAGUACAAUAAAUCCAAUGCAUUGGCAUGAAUGCUCAACAAUGUUUCUAAGCCUUAUAUUAAAUUUUAGUUUAAUAAAAAUAUUGUUUUUCCUAUAUUUUUAUGAGCACAAAAAAAUAUUAAAUUAAAUCAGUUUUCACCUAUUUCAAAAGGAGCAAAUUUUAGGGUGUUACAAUUCUACCCCCUUAAGAUGAAUCUCGUCCUCGAGAUUCGGAAGACAGUGAUCAAAGAGAUAUGGAUACUCUGCCUUUGGAUGUUGUUCACUUCCUUGACUUGUUCCAUCCUCUUGUAGAGAUUUUAGCUUUACCUUGCACCCUCUAGUAAUCUAUCUCCAAGUGAUAGCACUUUUUUUUGAAGUCAUAACCUUGUUCAAUACCAAACCAACUUAGAAUCAACUUAGUGAAGAUUUUUCUUAGGUCCUUAUGAUCCACGUUGAUGACAUUUUUUUAUAUUUUUUUGUCCAAGAAGAUAGUACUUCCAUGCUCCACAUCACAUCUCAGGUACAUGCUAAGUAUGGUGAAAAUUGAUCUCACAACUAAGGGUGGCUCGAACCAAAGAUCAAUCUUGACAAAACUUAAACUUCUUAUAGAUGACCAUU